ACUUGGAAACUAGACCUUAACUAGUAGGAAUUAUAUUUCUGAAAUUUAAAAAGUUUGGCGGCUUUUAGAGGGCUCAGGGGAAUUUGUAUCGUUAUCGUAACCACGCGCUACACCUUACUUAGCUCUAGCUUGUAUACCGCCGCCUAAGUAAUCUUUAUAGAGGUUGCUACAAUUAGCCAUACAGACGUCAGGUCAUGGUGCAGUAUAGCUAAGGUGAUUACAAAUUACAAUUUACAUCCAACUUGGAAUUAAAAUUAAAACUUUAAUGAAAUAGG
rnacentral:rRNA from 1 species